UAGGGAAUCUUCGGCAAUGGACGGAAGUCUGACCGAGCAACGCCGCGUGAGUGAAGAAGGUUUUCGGAUCGUAAAGCUCUGUUGUUAGAGAAGAACGUUGGUAGGAGUGGAAAAUCUACCAAGUGACGGUAACUAACCAGAAAGGGACGGCUAACUACGUGCCAGCAGCCGCGGUAAUACGUAGGUCCCGAGCGUUGUCCGGAUUUAUUGGGCGUAAAGCGAGCGCAGGCGGUUCUUUAAGUCUGAAGUUAAAGGCAGUGGCUUAACCAUUGUACGCUUUGGAAACUGGAGGACUUGAGUGCAGAAGGGGAGGGUGGAAUUCCAUGUGUAGCGGUGAAAUGCGUAGAUAUAUGGAGGAACACCGGUGGCGAAAGCGGGUCUCUGGUCUGUAACUGACGCUGAGGCUCGAAAGCGUGGGGAGCAAACAGG
rnacentral:rRNA from 1 species